rnacentral:rRNA from 1 species
GAUGAACGCUGGCGGCGUGCCUAACGCAUGCAAGUCGAGCGAUUCUCUUCGGAGAAGAGCGGCGGACGGGUGAGUAACGCGUGGGUAACCUGCCCUGUACACACGGAUAACAUACCGAAAGGUAUGCUAAUACGAGAUAAUAUACUUUUAUCGCAUGGUAGAAGUAUCAAAGCUUUUGCGGUACAGGAUGGACCCGCGUCUGAUUAGCUAGUUGGUAAGGUAACGGCUUACCAAGGCGACGAUCAGUAGCCGACCUGAGAGGGUGAUCGGCCACAUUGGAACUGAGACACGGUCCAAGCUCCUACGGGAAGCAGCAGUGGGGAAUAUUGCACAAUGGGCGAAAGCCUGAUGCAGCAACGCCGCGUGAGCGAUGAAGGCCUUCGGGUCGUAAAGCUCUGUCCUCAAGGAAGAUAAUGACGGUACUUGAGGAGGAAGCCCCGGCUAACUACGUGCCAGCAGCCGCCGCAG